AUUGAACGCUGGCGGCAGGCUUAACACAUGCAAGUCGAGCGGAGACGAGGUGCUUGCACCUUAUCUUAGCGGCGGACGGGUGAGUAAUGCUUAGGAAUCUGCCUAUUAGUGGGGGACAACAUUCCGAAAGGAAUGCUAAUACCGCAUACGUCCUACGGGAGAAAGCAGGGGAUCUUCGGACCUUGCGCUAAUAGAUGAGCCUAAGUCGGAUUAGCUAGUUGGUGGGGUAAAGGCCUACCAAGGCGACGAUCUGUAGCGGGUCUGAGAGGAUGAUCCGCCACACUGGGACUGAGACACGGCCCAGACGCCUACGAGAUGCAGCAGUGGGGAAUAUUGGACAAUGGGGGGAACCCUGAUCCAGCCAUGCCGCGUGUGAAGAAGGCCUUAUGGUUGUAAAGCACUUUGAGCGAGGAGGAGGCUACUGAGACUAAUACUCUUGGAUAGUGGACGUUACUCGCAGAAUAAGCACCGGCUAACUCUGUGCCAGCCGCCGCCGUAAUAC
rnacentral:rRNA from 1 species